GGACAUAUAUCCAAUGUCUCAGACAUCCGAGUUAUAAAGGGAACAAAGUAAAAAGACAUUUUCCUGAUUUAACAACGGAAAUAGAUCAUGAAUGCAUGGAUAAGUGCGUUAAAAACUGCAGAACAACCACCAAUCAUGAUUGCAGUUCAAAAUGUUCUCAUUGCAUAAGAAGAAAGAAACAGAGAACUCAAAUCAUUACGGAAUACGAGACCGAGUGUAUAGAGGGAGAUUGUAAUAAGAAA
rnacentral:lncRNA from 1 species